UGUUCAACCGAAGCUUAGGCAAUGCAGUAAUGCAUUGGGUAGGGGAGCGUCGUAUGCGGGGUGAAGUCAGAGCGGAAGCACUGGUGGACUGCAUACGAGUGAGAAUGCCGGAAUAAGUAGCGAGAAUUAUGUGAGAAUCAUAAUGGCCGAAAAUCUAAGGUUUCUUGGGGAAGGUUCGUCCGCCCAAGGUUAGUCGGGAGCUAAGCUCAGGCCGAAAGGCGUAGGCGAUGCACAUACGGUAGAAAUUCCGUAACCACCGAACAUUUAAGCUAGAGGGACGCUUUCAUUAAGUCUAUCCCGGGCGAUGGUUGCCCCGGGCGUAAGGGACCGAAAUAUAGUAGGGAAGUAGACGGCGUGAGAGACGAGAAAAGCUCUAGUGUAUACUAAGGUGCCCGUACCGCAAACCGACACAGGUAGAUGGGAUGAGUAUUCUAAGGCCAACGGGAGAAGGGUUGUUAAGGAACUCGGCAAAUUGGCCCCGUAACUUCGGGAUAAGGGGCGCCUGCGAGAGCAGGCCGCAGUGAAAAGGCCCAAGCGACUGUUUAGCAAAAACACAGCUCUCUGCUAAAUCGAAAGAUGACGUAUAGGGGGUGACGCCUGCCCGGUGCUGGAAGGUUAAGGGGAGUGCUUAGCGCAAGCGAAGGUGCGAACUUAAGCCCCAGUAAACGGCGGCCGUAACUAUAACGGUCCUAAGGUAGCGAAAUUCCUUGUCAGGUAAGUUCUGACCCGCACGAAUGGCGUAACGAUUUGGGCACUGUCUCAACAGCCCGCCCGGCGAAAUUGUAGUACCGGUGAAGAUGCCGGUUUCCCGCAACUAGACGGAAAGACCCCAUGGAGCUUCACUGUAGCUUGAUAUUGGAUCUCGGUAUUCCAUGUACAGGAUAGGUGGGAGGCUAGGAAGUAAGCGCGCCAGCGUUUAUGGAGCCAACCUUGGGAUACCACUCUUGGGAUAUUGGGAUUCUAACCUGCGACCAUGAAUCUGGUCGGGGGACACUGUCAGGUGGGCAGUUUGACUGGGGCGGUC
rnacentral:rRNA from 1 species